rnacentral:rRNA from 1 species
ACGAACGCUGGCGGCGUGCUUAACACCUGCAAGUCGCACGGAAAGGCCCUGCUUUUGUGGGGUGCUCGAGUGGCGAACGGGUGAGUAACACGUGAGUAACCUGCCCUUGACUUUGGGAUAACUUCAGGAAACUGGGGCUAAUACCGGAUAGGAGCUCCUGCUGCAUGGUGGGGGUUGGAAAGUUUCGGCGGUUGGGGAUGGACUCGCGGCUUAUCAGCUUGUUGGUGGGGUAGUGGCUUACCAAGGCUUUGACGGGUAGCCGGCCUGAGAGGGUGACCGGCCACAUUGGGACUGAGAUACGGCCCAGACUCCUACGGGAGGCAGCAGUGGGGAAUAUUGCACAAUGGGCGGAAGCCUGAUGCAGCAACGCCGCGUGCGGGAUGAAGGCCUUCGGGUUGUAAACCGCUUUCGCCUGUGACGAAGCGUGAGUGACGGUAAUGGGUAAAGAAGCACCGGCUAACUACGUG